rnacentral:rRNA from 1 species
GAAAGCCUGACGGAGCAACGCCGCGUGAGUGAUGAAGGUCUUCGGAUCGUAAAACUCUGUUAUUAGGGAAGAACAAGGGUGUAAGUAACUAUGCACCCCUUGACGGUACCUGAUCAGAAAGCCACGGCUAACUACGUGCCAGCAGCCGCGGUAAUACGUAGGUGGCAAGCGUUAUCCGGAAUUAUUGGGCGUAAAGCGCGCGUAGGCGGUUUUUUAAGUCUGA